rnacentral:rRNA from 1 species
UACGUAGGUGGCAAGCGUUGUCCGGAUUUACUGGGCGUAAAGAGCGCGCAGGCGGUCGUUCAAGUCGCGUGUGAAAGCCCCCGGCUCAACUGGGGAGGGUCACGCGAUACUGAUCGACUCGAAGGCAGGAGAGGGUAGUGGAAUUCCCGGUGUAGUGGUGAAAUGCGUAGAUAUCGGGAGGAACACCAGUGGCGAAGGCGGGUCUCUGGGAAGUAACUGACGCUGAGAAGCGAAAGCGUGGGUAGCGAACAGG